rnacentral:rRNA from 1 species
UACAGAGGUCCCAAGCGUUGUUCGGAUUCAUUGGGCGUAAAGGGUGCGUAGGCGGCGCGGUAAGUCGGGUGUGAAAUCUCGGAGCUUAACUCCGAAACUGCAUUCGAUACUGCCGUGCUUGAGGACUGGAGAGGAGACUGGAAUUUACGGUGUAGCGGUGAAAUGCGUAGAUAUCAAGUGGAACACCAGUGGCGAAGGCGAGUCCCUGGACACUUCCUGACACUGAGGCACGAAAGCUAGGGGAGCAAACAGG